rnacentral:rRNA from 1 species
UUGAGCUUGAUCCCUGGCUCAGAACGAACGCUGGCGGCAGGCUUAACACAUGCAAGUCGAGCGCCCCGCAAGGGGAGCGGCAGACGGGUGAGUAACGCGUGGGAAUCUACCCUUUUCUACGGAAUAACGCAGGGAAACUUGUGCUAAUACCGUAUGAGCCCUUCGGGGGAAAGAUUUAUCGGGAAAGGAUGAGCCCGCGUUGGAUUAGCUAGUUGGUGGGGUAAAGGCCUACCAAGGCGACGAUCCAUAGCUGGUCUGAGAGGAUGAUCAGCCACAUUGGGACUGAGACACGGCCCAAACUCCUACGGGAGGCAGCAGUGGGGAAUAUUGGACAAUGGGCGCAAGCCUGAUCCAGCCAUGCCGCGUGAGUGAUGAAGGCCCUAGGGUUGUAAAGCUCUUUCACCGGUGAAGAUAAUGACGGUAACCGGAGAAGAAGCCC